AGCGAACGCUGGCGGCAGGCUUAACACAUGCAAGUCGAGCGGGCGUAGCAAUACGUCAGCGGCAGACGGGUGAGUAACGCGUGGGAACGUACCUUUUGGUUCGGAACCACACAGGGAAACUUGUGCUAAUACCGGAUAAGCCCUUACGAGGAAAGAUUUAUCGCCGAAAGAUCGGCCCGCGUCUGAUUAGCUAGUUGGUGAGGUAACGGCUCACCAAGGCGACGAUCAGUAGCUGGUCUGAGAGGAUGAUCAGCCACAUUGGGACUGAGACACGGCCCAAACUCCUACGGGAGGCAGCAGUGGGGAAUAUUGGACAAUGGGGGCAACCCUGAUCCAGCCAUGCCGCGUGAGUGAUGAAGGCCCUAGGGUUGUAAAGCUCUUUUGUGCGGGAAGAUAAUGACGGGACCGCAAGAAGAAGCCCCGGCUAACUUCGU
rnacentral:rRNA from 1 species